rnacentral:rRNA from 1 species
MMSCAGCAGUCAAGAAUAUUAGUCAAUGCUCGAAAGAGUGAACUAGCUAACUGAAAUCACUUUAGAAGUGAUAACGUAAGGGAAAAUAAUGAUAUUACCUUACUAUAAGUGUUGUCCAAAUCUGGUGCCAGAAGACUCGGUAAGGCCAGGAACGCGAACGUUAGUCAUCUUAAACAGGCGUAAAGGGUGAGUAGGCAACUUUAAAAUUCUAAUUUUUUAAAAUAGCAAAUAAAAAAGAGGAAAAGUAGAAGAUAGAAUCUAGUAUAGGAAAAAAUAAAAUCGAGAAUAAAGGUUAAAAUCUGCAGUAAACUCGAUAGAAUACUAAAGGCGAAGGCAUUUUUCCAAUAAAGAUUGACGCUGAGGAACGAAGGAUAGGGCAAGAAUCAGGAUUAGAUACCCUGGUACUCCUUUCUGUCAACAAUGAAUGGUAGUCACUAAAAAAUAUUAGUGUCAAUGUUAACACGUUAACCAUUCCGCCUUGUGAGUACGAUUGCAAAAUUGAAAACAAAAAAAUUAGUCGGUCUCGAAGCAAACGAAGUGAAGCAUGUUAUUUAAUUCGAUAAUCCGCMSGUCAACGAUGAAUGGUGGUU